rnacentral:lncRNA from 1 species
GAAGCAUGUGAUGACCUUAGGUGGUUUUCUCUUUGAGCUUCUCUCAGAAGCUCUUGGUUUACACUCGGAGAUACUUAAGAGCAUGGAUUGCAUGAAGGCUUUGAAUGUGCUCGGCCAUUAUUACCCUCCUUGUCCACAACCCGACCUAACUUUGGGCACAAGUCAGCAUUCCGACAGCUCCUUCAUCACCAUUCUUCUUCAGGACCAAAUCGGUGGUCUUCAAAUUCUUCAUAAGGACUCUUGGGUCGAUGUCACUCCUCUUCCCGGAGCGCUCGUCAUCAACAUAGGAGAUUAUUUACAGGCAAUAUAUCAUUUUGGAGCUUUUAAAAGUAUAAUAUACAAUGCACUUAUGCUGAGAAACAAGGACACCUUUUAAUAUGCAGCUAAUAACGAAUGACAAGUUCAUAAGCGUGGAGCAUAGGGUGCUUGCAAACAGAGCAGGACCGAGGAUUUCUGUCGCGGGCUUUUUCAGCACAAAUAUGCUUCCCAAUUCAACGGUUUACGGACCAAUCAAAGAGCUUCUUUCUGAAGAAAACCCUCCAAAAUACAAAGACAUCACUUUAGAAGAAUACAACAGGGGGUACUUUGAGAAAGGCCUUGACGGAACAUCACAUCUGUCUAGGUUCAAGAUAUGAAGAGCAUCUGAGUUAAAAUAUAUGUUCAUCAGUUCUUGUCUUGUUUCCCCUCUUAGCUCCCCUAUAACUAAACCACUACCAAAAGUAAGUACAGAAAUUGUGUGUCAGCAUUUAUUAAAUUCCCAUCGUAACAGCUUUGUAUUGGAUCUACAGAAAUAAAAUCAUUGUUUGUGUAUCAGAAUAGAAGUUAUUACUUCAAUGUUGGUGCUAGUUAUCAUUAAUUAUGCAAAUUUUAUAAAAUCAUUGUUUGUGUAUCAGGAUAAAAGUUGUUACUUCAAUGUUGGUGCUAGUUAUCAUUAUUUCGGUUCUUGAGUAAAUAAAAGUCGCCAGAUGUUUUCUUAGAACAUUUAAUUUAAUGUUCAGAGAAAUCUCUUCAAACAAAUACUACUAGUAAUAAUACUAUAAACAUAUAAUAUAAUGUAUCUAAAUCUUAUAAUAUAUAUUUAAAUCAACUAAUUUUUAUCAAAAUAAUAUUUAUAUAAUAUGUUUUGGUUUAGAUUUCAUAAAUUUUACGAGCUUUCUUUUAAAAACAGCUGUAAAAAUCUAUAAUAGAUAACUUCCUAAAUUAUUUCUAAUAUUUUCUCUUUCAAAUUCAGAAAAUGAUGUGUGAACUAGAUUAUUAGUCAAUGAAAAUAUUUGUGAAAAAUAUAAUAAAACUUUCACUAUGAGGAGGAUUUUUUUGGAUCAAUAUGAGGAAGAUUAUUCGACCCGUUCGUUUUAAGUUUUUUUUUUUAAGUUUUCCUCGUUGUGACUGUUUAUGCUGACAUCACGGCCAACAACAUGUGCUAACGUCAUCAACGGUCAUUGUCGUUCCACACACCAAAAGACCAAAUUUCAACCAUGGAGGCUGCAAUGCCUCUCUUAUCUUUUCCUUUACCUCAUGUUCAUAACAAAGAAUAGAUAUACCUAUAAGAGAUACUGCCUUAAUCACUAAUCGACCACAAGAUCGAAAACGUAAACUACUUUUCUUGAUAUUCAAGUAACAUCAAGAUGCAGACUACGUACAGUAUUCUUCUUCUUCUUCGUCCUAUAUAUGGCGCAGCCUUUGUUAGAAAUCUCGAAAUAGUUUCAAAAGAACAAAUAUGGAGAUCGACUCUUAUAACGAGCGCAAAGCUUUCGACGAGACAAAAGCAGGAGUAAAAGGUCUCGUCGAUGCUCACAUCACUGAGGUUCCUCAUAUCUUCCGUCUCCCUCACGGUACCUUACCCGACAAGAAACCCUCUGUUUCUGCCUCCGCGAUUCCUGUUAUCGACCUUGCGGACGUCCAUGUAUCACGUGAAGGCAUCGUUAAGAAGGUCAAAGACGCAGCGGAGACGUGGGGAUUCUUCCAGGUGAUCAAUCAUGGUGUUCCUUUAAGCGUUAUCGAAGAGAUCAAAGGUGGAGUUCGCAGGUUUCAUGAGCAAGAUCUUGAAGUUAAGAAAUCUUACUUCACGCGUGACGUCACCAAGAGUGUUGUCUACAAUAGUAAUUUUGAUCUGUACAAUCCUUCUUCUCUAUGUGUUAACUGGAGAGACUCCUUCGUUUGUUGUAUGGCUCCUGAUCCUCCAAACCCUGAUGAGAUCCCAUUGGCUUGCAGGUAUAAAUAUUGUUUUUCUCUUCAAACAUCUUUGGAAGAUAUGUUGAUUUUAACUAGGGCUGGAUGAGAUUUUGUGGAUAUAGAUAUUUAUUAAAAUUUUAAUUUAAAAUAUUUAUAUAAUUCAGAGGCCGAUUUCUUUGUAUAUAACUUUUUCAAAUUUUGGGAACUAAUGUCAAUAUAUAUAUAUAUAUAUAUAUAUAAUCCUGAAUUUCUAACUGACAUCAUUGGCUUAGGGAUGCUAUGAUCGAGUACUCCAAGCAUGUGAUGACCUUAGGUGGUUUUCUCUUUGAACUCUUGUCCGAAUCUCUUGGUUUGCACUCGGAGAUGCUUAAGAGCAUGGAUUGCAUGAAGGGUUUGAAUAUGAUCGGCCAUUAUUACCCUCCUUGUCCACAACCCGACCUAACUUUUGGCACAAGUCAGCAUUCCGACAGCUCCUUCAUCACCAUUCUUCUUCAGGACCAAAUCGGUGGUCUUCAAAUUCUUCAUAAGGACUCUUGGGUCGAUGUCUCUCCUCUUCC